GAUGAACGCUAGCUACAGGCUUAACACAUGCAAGUCGAGGGGAAACGAUAUUGGAAGCUUGCUUCCGAUAGGCGUCGACCGGCGCACGGGUGAGCAACGCGUAUCCAACCUGCCCAUCACUUGGGGAUAACCUUGCGAAAGUAAGACUAAUACCCAAUGAUAUCUCUAGAAGACAUCUGAAGGAGAUUAAAGAUUCAUCGGUGAUGGAUGGGGAUGCGUCUGAUUAGCUUGUUGGCGGGGUAACGGCCCACCAAGGCGACGAUCAGUAGGGGUUCUGAGAGGAAGGUCCCCCACAUUGGAACUGAGACACGGUCCAAACUCCUACGGGAGGCAGCAGUGAGGAAUAUUGGUCAAUGGACGAGAGUCUGAACCAGCCAAGUAGCGCGCAGGAUGACGGCCCUAUGGGUUGUAAACUGCUUUUAUAAGGGAAUAAAGUGAGUCUCGUGAGACUUUUUGCAUGUACCUUAUGAAUAAGGACCGGCUAAUUCCGUGCCAGCAGCCGCCGUAA
rnacentral:rRNA from 1 species